CGAGUUUUAAGGAUAAAUGGACCUCAAGCUGUGCAGACACAGCAUGAGCACACUUAAUCUCCUCAAGUGGAGAGUGUCAGUCAACAGUGCCGGGACAGAUAAGGUGUGCUGGAAUGCCUUCUCGCUAAAUGUUUGGAGAGACUCGACUGACUGACAGAAGUAGGUCUGUGUGAGAGAAGCUCUCUCCUUCCUCUGGCUCUUGCCCUGGUUAGAUCUCCUCCGCAACAUCUCUUCCUCCCAGUGCUGGAGAGUGUUUGCAGCCUCUCUGCUCUGAGUGAGAGUCAUCAAAUGGAGAUUAAAGACGCUUCUGUUUCCACUGACAAGCGCACACACACACACACACACACACACAC
ensembl:lncRNA